CCAAUGGGGUUUUCCCAGCAAGUGGCUCUCCCCAAGCACUGUCCAGGUGCAGUGGAGUAUUGGGCUCUGCUCCGUGAUGUAUAAUAUAGUCCCUUUUCACAACACUGGAAAUCAAGCGAAGCCUCAAUCUGUGCCUGCAUGUUUCUACAGCCUCUCAGGGUACUCUGGCCUAUGAUUGAGUGACAAACCAUGCAGGAAACAGUA